AGCAAAACUACAGCAGCAUCAAUUAAAACAACAUAAGCCCAAACCAUAUCUGUUUCCUCAAUUACUACUGCAUCACCAAGACUUUUUACAUGUACAGAAGUCUUGGUUGUUUAAUAUAUUGCCCUAGCACAACACGCAACUCAUCCUGAAGCAAGCCCUUGUGAUCCAAUUAAUGGCGGAUCUGACGAUGCCUAUGUUCUUUCCUCGUGUAACAUGACGUCACCGAUGAUGUGGAGAAGAAGGAUAAGUAUAAUGACUGAUUGCAAAUCCAACACGCAUUUGAUUCCAGGAUUUACUCCAAUAUCGACAUUUGCACAGGAUAAUUAUAACUCCAUAGGUUCACAAUCGGGUGUAUUUCUUGAAUGUUACAAUAGCGGAUUUAAGAUGGCGAUCCAAAGUUGCAACCAAAAUCCUGAGAUUAUUCAUAUUGAAGGUGGUGCACAAUUCAACAAUGACCGUAAUAACUAUUAUGUUAUUG